CCUCCUCUCCUGUCCUUUCCCAUCCCCUCCCUCCUCAGCCCACAUCCUGCUCCUCCCACCGCGGUGGUCACAUGGGGGCGCCGCCGGAUUUAAGCUUAAUCUGCCUGGUGCUCAGCACAGCAUCCUGGCUGUGGCGCGUGCUGACUGAGCUAGUCUUGGGGUCCUGGAGAAGGGGGCUGGAGGCAUGCCCACAGCCUCCCCCCCAUGAGCUUGGGGCUGGCGGGGGCACAGGAGGUGGAGCUGACACUAGAGACGGUUAUCCAGACACUGGAGAGCAGCGUCCUGUGCCAGGAGAAAGGCUUGGGCGCGCGGGACCUGGCCCAGGACGCUCAGAUCACCAGCCUGCCUGCCCUUAUCAGGGAGAUUGUCACCCGCAACCUCUCCCAGCCUGAGAGCCCAGUCCUGCUGCCGGCCACGGAGAUGGCAUCGCUGCUGUCGCUGCAGGAGGAGAACCAGCUGCUGCAGCAGGAGCUGUCCCGCGUGGAGGACCUGCUGGCCCAGAGCCGUGCCGAGCGCGAUGAGCUCGCCAUUAAGUACAAUGCGGUCAGCGAGAGGCUGGAGCAGGCUCUGCGGCUGGAGCCUGGGGAGCUGGAGACGCAGGAGCCCAGGGGGCUGGUACGGCAGAGCGUGGAGUUGCGGAGGCAGCUGCAGGAGGAGCAGGCCUCCUACCGGCGCAAGCUGCAGGCCUACCAGGAGGGCCAGCAGCGGCAGGCCCAGCUUGUGCAGCGGCUGCAGGGCAAGAUUCUCCAGUACAAGAAGAGGUGCUCGGAGCUGGAGCAGCAGCUGCUGGAGAGAUCCGGAGAGCUGGAGCAGCAGCGGCUGAGGGACACAGAGCACAGCCAAGACCUGGAAAGCGCCCUCAUCCGGCUGGAGGAGGAGCAGCAGAGGAGUGCCAGCCUGGCCCAGGUGAAUGCCAUGCUCCGAGAACAGCUGGACCAGGCAGGCUCGGCCAACCAGGCUCUGAGUGAGGACAUACGAAAGGUGACCAAUGACUGGACACGCUGCCGCAAGGAGCUGGAGCACCGGGAGGCGGCGUGGAGGCGCGAGGAGGAGUCCUUCAACGCCUACUUCAGCAACGAGCACAGUCGCCUGCUCCUCCUCUGGAGGCAGGUGGUGGGGUUCCGGCGGCUGGUCAGCGAGGUGAAGAUGUUCACUGAGAGGGACCUGCUGCAGCUGGGAGGGGAGCUGGCCCGGACAUCACGAGCUGUCCAGGAGGCGGGCCUGGGACUGAGCACGGGCCUACGGCUGGCAGAGAGCCGGGCCGAGGCAGCCCUGGAGAAACAGGCCCUGCUGCAGGCCCAGCUGGAGGAGCAGCUGCGGGACAAGGUGCUCCGCGAGAAGGACCUGGCGCAGCAGCAGAUGCAAAGCGACCUGGACAAGGCUGACCUCAGUGCCAGAGUGACAGAGCUGGGCCUGGCAGUGAAGCGUCUUGAGAAGCAGAAUCUGGAGAAGGAUCAGGUCAACAAGGACCUCACUGAGAAGCUUGAGGCCCUGGAAUCCCUGCGGCUACAGGAGCAGGUGGCCCUGGAGACAGAGGACGGAGAGGGGCUACAGCAGACCCUAAGGGACCUGGCACAGGCCGUCUUGUCAGACUCUGAGAGCGGCGUCCAGCUGAGCGGCUCUGAGCGCACCGCGGAUGCUUCCAACGGCAGCCUGCGGGGGCUCUCGGGCCAGCGGACCCCGUCCCCACCGCGGCGCUCCUCGCCCGGCCGAGGCCGUUCACCCCGCCGAGGCUCCUCCCCGGCCUGCUCAGACUCCUCCACGCUCGCCCUGAUCCACUCCGCCCUGCACAAGCGCCAGCUGCAGGUCCAGGACAUGCGUGGGCGCUAUGAGGCAAGCCAGGACCUACUGGGCACCCUGCGGAAGCAGCUUAGCGACAGCGAGAGCGAGCGGCGGGCCCUAGAGGAACAGCUGCAGCGCCUGCGGGACAAGACCGACGGCGCCAUGCAGGCCCACGAGGACGCCCAGCGCGAGGUGCAGCGGCUGCGGAGCGCCAACGAGCUCCUGAGCAGGGAGAAGAGCAACCUGGCCCACAGCCUGCAGGUGGCCCAGCAGCAGGCCGAGGAGCUGCGGCAGGAGCGGGAGAAGCUGCAGGCUGCCCAGGAGGAGCUGCGGCGCCAGCGGGACCGGCUGGAGGAAGAGCAGGAGGACGCAGUGCAGGAUGGCGCGCGGGUGCGCCGGGAGCUUGAGCGCAGCCAUAGACAACUAGAGCAGCUGGAAGGGAAGCGCUCAGUCCUGGCCAAGGAGCUGGUGGAGGUGAGGGAGGCGCUGAGCCGCGCCACACUGCAACGGGACAUGCUGCAGGCCGAGAAGGCCGAGGUGGCCGAGGCGCUGACCAAGGCUGAGGCUGGCCGCGUGGAGCUCGAGCUCUCCAUGACCAAGCUGAGGGCAGAGGAGGCCUCCCUGCAGGACUCCCUGUCCAAGCUGAGCGCCCUCAACGAGAGCCUUGCUCAGGACAAGUUGGAUCUGAACCGCCUUGUCGCCCAGCUGGAGGAAGAAAAGUCCGCCCUGCAGGGCCGGCAACGGCAGGCAGAGCAGGAGGCCACAGUGGCGCGGGAAGAGCAGGAACGGCUAGAGGAGCUGCGGUUGGAGCAGGAGGUGGCGCGGCAGGGCCUGGAGGGCUCCCUACGAGUGGCGGAGCAGGCCCAGGAGGCAUUGGAGCAGCAGCUCCCCACGCUGCGCCAUGAGCGCAGCCAGCUGCAGGAGCAGCUAGCGCAGCUCUCCCGGCAGCUGAGCGGGCGGGAGCAGGAGCUGGAGCAGGCCCGGCGGGAGGCCCAGCGGCAAGUGGAGGCGCUGGAGCGAGCGGCCCGUGAGAAGGAGGCGCUAGCCAAGGAGCACGCUGGCCUGGCUGUGCAGCUGGUGGCUGCGGAGCGUGAAGGCAGGACCCUGUCAGAGGAGGCCACACGCCUGCGCUUGGAGAAGGAAGCCCUGGAGGGCAGCCUGUUUGAGGUGCAACGGCAGCUGGCCCAGCUUGAGGCCCGCCGGGAGCAGCUGGAAGCCGAGGGGCAGGCCCUGCUGCUGGCCAAGGAGACCCUGACUGGGGAGUUGGCGGGCCUGCGGCAGCAAAUAAUAGCUACGCAGGAGAAAGCCAGUCUAGACAAGGAGCUGAUGGCCCAGAAGCUGGUGCAGGCUGAGCGGGAGGCCCAGGCCUCUCUGCGGGAGCAGUGGGCAGCCCACGAGGAGGACUUACAGUGACUCCAGCGUGAAAAGGAGGCAGCAUGGCGGGAGCUGGAGGCCGAGCGGGCCCAGCUGCAGAGUCAGCUGCAGCGUGAGCAGGAGGAGCUGCUGGCCCGGCAGAAGGCUGAGAAGGAACAGCUGAGUGAGGAGAUUGCUGCCCUGCAGCAGGAGCAUGACGAGGGCCUCCUCCUGGCCGAGAGCGAGAAGCAGCAGGCCUUGUCUCUGAAGGAGUCUGAGAAGAUGGCGCUGUCAGAGAAGUUGAUGGGUACACGGCACAGCCUGGCCACCAUCUCCCUGGAGAUGGAGCGGCAGAAACCAGAUGCCCAGAGCCGGCAGGAGCAGGACCGGGUAGGCCUGCCGUCGUAGGGAGGCUUGCGGAGCAGGAGCGCCCUCUCUCCACCGAGCUAUCCCGCGGUUUCCAGCAUCCCAUCUGGCGGACUCCUCUUCCUCUCUCUUCUCCUACUCUGGGUCUUCUAUCCUGGUGUUCCUUGAAUGCCUAUCUUCCUUUUGUGCCUCGGAACCUCUCACGCCUGCCACAAGUUACUCUUUUCCUUGGUAGUUCUGAACUUUAAAUAAGGUAAUGCCUGUAAGAAUGCCAUAAAUGCUCAAUAAUUGUCAUCUGUUAUUAUUUUCAUCAGUAACAUCAUCUGAAUCAUCAGUAUUGUCUGCUUUUAACAGCUGCAUUUUUCAUUGUCCAAAUAUAGUCACAUACAUUUGACCAUUUUAUAAUUAUUGAAUAAUAAAUUCGUUCUGCUAUUUUACAAUGAAAAAUAAUGCUGCAGAGAGCAUUUUUGCACAUGUAUCGUGGCAGAUGUAGGCCAGAGGCUCUUCUUUUAUCCAUCCUAUGGCCAACCUAUGAAUGUAUACACGUUUAAUGAGAUUUUGCCAGCAAUCAAAGCCUUCAGGGAAAAUGUCCCUAGCUCUUUACUACAUCAGAUCAAGGACUCUGGAUAAUUGGCAUAACAUCCUGGAAUAGCUGAAACAGAGAUAUUAUUCUCUGCUGUCCUCUGUUGUCUUUGUCUUUUCACGUCUUAAUAAAAGUGCUGGUGACAAGAGUGUAA